UACGGAGGGUGCAAGCGUUGUUCGGAAUCAUUGGGCGUAAAGCGCGUGUAGGCGGCUUGGCAAGUCAGUUGUGAAAGCCCGGGGCCCAACCCCGGAACUGCAUCUGAAACUGCCCUGGCUAGAGUCCCGGAGAGGAAGGCAGAAUUCCCGGUGUAGGGGUGAAAUCCGUAGAUAUCGGGAGGAAUACCAGCGGCGAAGGCGGCCUUCUGGACGGUGACUGACGCUGAGACGCGAAAAGCGUGGGGAGCGAACAGG
rnacentral:rRNA from 1 species